ACCUGUAGUAAUGACCUUUUGCUGAAUACCAAUCGCCAUGAAAAAGGGUUCCUUGGUUCCCCCCCCCCUCCCAUGAACUGAACCGACAUCAACUAUAUUGGAUGCUGAGAAAUACUCACUACAGAUGAUCAACAGACUGGAAAUACAAGUAUAGUUCGGUUUCUUAAUUAUAAUACUAAAAUUGCAAAAAAUGACAUGAUAUUCUCUAAUCGUUUUCUUCUAGAAAGCAGAUUCCCAUAAGCUAAUAAGGAUGCAAAUCAUUAUUACCUGGAAACGUUACAUCCGUUUUGAUAGACAUUUCCAGCUACUUCUCAACGUAAGUAUCUGUGAAAUCGGAGCGCUUGCCAUUCUGAAAUCAACUUCUGCGAAUGCAACAGUAGAAUAAAUGAAUCGCCUGAAAAUGGAGCCAGCAUGCGAAAGCCUUCUGAAUGUCGUCUUCAUCAGGAAAAUGUUGCCUGGCUAGGAAGGAACCAUUUGAAGUGCUAAAACAGGACAAGAGAAUUUUCUAGGAAGCAAACCAUUACUACUUGAAACCAUCCAUCAAAACAGAAGCAGAAUUUCCAAUUUAUCAACGUAAUAAGACUUGGUUAGUGUUACUGAUAUCCUUCAGAAUAAUUGAGGUUGGAUUAGAUUUUGAUGCAUAGUAAUCUUUUGUUCAAUAAAGGGUCCCCAUUUACACUAAAAGUGAGAUUGCUGUCUCCGUUACCACACUUAUUAUGAACCGACAUCUAUUGCGAUGUAUGUUGUGAAAUGCUCACUACAGAUGACAUUGAAAUGUUGGAAAAUCAAGUAUCCUUUCGUUUCUUAUUUAUAAUAUUGAAAUCACAAAAAUGACAUUCUCUAACCAUUUUAUUUGAUUUUCCAGAAAACAUUGAACUGCAAGGAGGCAAACCAUAAUUACUCGUCAACAUCUAUUAAAACGGAUGCAGAAUUUCUAGCUAUUUCUGAAAAUAGAAAAGCGGAGGAACUGAAGCGCGUGCCAUCCCGAGAUCAUCUUUCGUGAGUAGAGGGACCGAACAAAUCAAUCGCCAGAGCAUGGAAUCAACAUGCGACAGCCUUUUGCAUGUCUCCUCGUCACAAGUAAAAUGUUGCCAGGCCAGAAACCUUUUUAAAGUGCAGAAAUGGAACAAGAAAUAUUUCCAGCGACUACUUCAGUUUCUGACAAAUUCUCUACCAGCAAUCUGGGUGAUCGAGAAACUUUUCUCAGAAUGGUAUCGUAGAGAUAACGAUGUAGAAAAAGUUGGAUACCUACUGCUUAUAUUAAAUGUCUUUUUCUGAAUCAAGACAUGUUAUCCAUCCAUGAAGUAAUAAGGGUUUCGUGAUUCCAUAUAGCUUUGGAAUUGACGCCAUUUAUGCUGCAUAUGAAAACAAGUUUUCUGAAGACAUGCGGAGGCAAACUACAUAUAAUUUAUGUGGAAGGUUCUAUCAAGACAGAAGCGGGCUUUCCAGCUAUUUCUCAACACAAAGUUACCUGAAUGAUUCUGAAGCGAUAUCGGCAUGUUGCAAGAAUUUCGGCGUAUCACUCAUCACCAGAAGAUACUGCUUUCUUGGUUCCACACAUGCUCUGAACUGACAGCAACUAAGCUGGAUGCUAUGAAAUACUCUCUACUAAUAUCAAAACAUUGGAAAUCUAAGUAUACAUUCAACUUCUUAAUCAAAUUAAAUAGCAAGAACAUGGCAUUUUCUAAUCACUUUUAUUCUUGUAGAAGGCAAAUUUCCAGUAAGCUGUAAGGAGGCAAACCACAAUCAUCUGUAAAUAUCUAUCAAAACAGAAGCAGCGUACCCAGCUAUUUCUCAAUACGCGAAAUGGCGAAAUUGAUGCCAUUCCGAGAUCAACUUCUGCAACUAUAGUGUCUGAAGAAAUCGGUCGAUGGAGAAUGAAUCUACCGUGUGACAGCCUUCUGCAAGUCCCUCACUACUAAAAUGUUGCUCUGCUAUAAGCCUCUUCAAGUACACGAACAGAACGACAAAUGUCGGGUGUCUGUUAGGAAUACGCCUUCAUCGAUGUGAUCCUGGAAUAACAGACAAUACCUGGACCCUUCAUCAAGCGCAUAUUGGAGUGCGGAUGCUGCACAGUUCAAUUACGGACGAAGACUAUAUUUGAAUUUAUGUUAUCAAUAUGUUCACAAGCAAAUUUCAAACGGAACUAAUUGACUAGAUGCAAGAAACGGAUAUUGUAAAUACAGCGACAUAACAAAUUUGAUGGAACAAAACCUAGAUUUAAUUUUCGUGGUGCCUUCCUCUAUAAAUUGCAUUUGAGAACAUAUUUGUUAUUACCGAAUUUGCUAAGAAUUGUUUGACAUGACAGAUUGCUACUAUACAAUUUUAAGUCUUGGAUUUUCAUUACUGUAGUCUUUUUAACCAUUAUAUCGGCAGAAUUUCUUUCCAUUUACAAACCAAUUUUAUAAAGAACACUGCACCCUUUCGUUGUAACUGAAGCAAUUUCUUGACCUUGUUUGUUUCUAAAACUUCAUUUCGUGAUUUUGAAUGACUAUUAUUAAAGAAUCCUUCAUAUUCGAAUAGGUGUUAAUUCCUGUAUCUAUAACGAAGUUUGGAUUUUGUGAGGAUUUUGAUCUCUGUUAUGCUUAGUAUCAAUUACGUAAAACAAUUUGUCUCUAAAUUUCCGUUAGUUAUCAAUCUCGAGAUCUUGAUAAUCAGCUUUUAUCUAAAAGUUCUCUGAAUUGUACAAUAUGGCGUUUAAUAUGUACUUAUGUUUGAUUAAAAUAUGAAAUAUUCCUUAAAGGAAACAAUGCUUCUGUCUUAUGUAUACGAGGUAGAAAGAUGCAUUGGUAACAAAUGUUUUUCCAAUUGUUUGAAAUAAGGUUUAAAAUAUCGCAGUUAUUCUCUAAAUUAAAUCUUGUAUUCGCACACAUGAAAUAAUGCUAGGUUUUGAUAAAAUAUUUUUAUAAUUGCAUAGAAAUAUUAAUAG